AGUGAGUCUUUCUCUAGCUUGACCUGGCUGCCUGCCUGGGAGAGAAGGGUACCUGAGGUAGAGUUGUGCUGGGGAAAAGGCAAAAGGAGCUGGGGAGCUCCAGCCUGGUAAUUCCCCAGGCUGCAGGCCUUGUGCAAGGCCUAAAGAAGGAGAACACACUGGAUCUUGGAACUUCCCUGAUGAAGAAUUCUGAUGAUGAGCUUCAGUCACUCAAAAUAUCCCUUUGGCCAUGAGUGUCUCAGAUGCUCUCCUAUAUUGCAGCUUAUGCGAUGAAGCUUCAGUUAUGGGAAGAGGGGAUUGCAGAGGAAGAGUGGGUGAUGACAGGAAAGAGAAGGAUUCACGCUUCUACAUGCUCCCUGCCACACACAAGAGCCUGCGGAAGCAACUUGGCCACUAGGCUGGUGGGUCUGUGAAUCAAGAGAAGGGGAGGAAGAAAAACAUGCUUUGGAGGGUACUAAAGAGCGGCUGGUUACCCAUGUGGAUAUCUACAUGGAAUUAGUGCUGAUCCUGGCAGCACUAAUUUCCACUCUGCACCUGCACCCCUCCUGGUGAUUUUGCACAACUGUAGGCAGGACAGCCAAUGGCAACAUGACUCCUGGAGUACCUAUGUUCCCAGGAGGACAGGACGGUUGGACAGAACUGUGGAUAGAUAGCUCCUCUGCUGGCUGAGUGCUUCUUUCCCCACUGAUUCUGAGAAUCAAUGGGUUCAGAUGCCUCACUUCCCCACCCACCUCCUCUGGAACCCCCAACACUCUCUACUCAAGAGGUGCAUUAGCUGGAAACUCUGAGUUGAAACAGAGCUAAUAAUUUCACCCACCGGCAGAUCCACACACCAAUGCCUGGAAAAGAUUAAAGGGACAGAUUCUAUAAGUUUGGCUUUCCUGGUCAUGCAUACAACCAUCUAUGUUUUGUGAAUGAGCCUCCAAAAUGGAGCCCUCGGUAAGGUGCAGUAACUAUAUUAAAAAAAUUGUGAUAAGUUAAGGACAGAAUAUGAGAUGUUAUCACAGUUUUUAGUACAGUUCUGCUAUUAAUUAGUGCAACAUUAUCCUUUCUUUUAGGAAGACUUACACUGAAUGUGAAUAGAAUGUGAGGCAAUCAGCUAUGCCCAGGUGGAGCCCUGUGCCUGCAUAGACCUGAUUGCAUGAUCAGGGCCUAAAUUAUUCCCUAUGGGCCAGAUUCUGUAAGUACUCUGUGAGCAGAACUCCCACUUGAAUCCACCAGCAUUCCACAUCCAGAGGUGACACAGAACCACACCCUAUGUUUUUAA